CAUUAACGCGCAAGAGGUCGAAGUUGGCCCCCGAAGCUCUUCCGUCUCCCCCCCGGGCCUCCCGGGGAGGUUGCGGGCGGCGAGGGGUGCCUCCGGCCGCACGCCCAUUCUUGUCUACUGACCCGGUUGCCUCGGCGGGCCGCGCCUGCUGUGCUACAGCGGCCGUUCGGGGGGGACGCCUGAGGGGGACUCUUGUUUCCUAGGCCACGCCCCGGGCAGCGCUCGCCGGAGGAUUACUCUGGAAAACACACUCUUGAAAGAACAUACCGUCUGAGCGAGCAACGCAAAUCAGUUAAAACUUUCAACAACGGAUCUCUUGGUUCCGGCAUCGAUGAAGAACGCAGCGAAAUGCGAUAAGUAAUGUGAAUUGCAGAAUUCCGUGAAUCAUCGAAUCUUUGAACGCACAUUGCGCCCCCUGGCAUUCCGGGGGGCAUGCCUGUUCGAGCGUCAUUUCAACCCCUCAAGCCCGGCUUGUGUGAUGGACGACCGUCCCCCCUCCCCAGUAACCACCCACCGCUUAGGGGGGUGGGAGGGAGGGGGGACGGG
rnacentral:misc_RNA from 1 species